UACGUAGGGUGCAAGCGUUGUCCGGAAUUAUUGGGCGUAAAGAGCUCGUAGGCGGUUUGUCGCGUCUGCUGUGAAAACGCGAGGCUCAACCUCGCGCCUGCAGUGGGUACGGGCAGACUAGAGUGCGGUAGGGGGAGAUUGGAAUUCCUGGUGUAGCGGUGAAAUGCGCAGAUAUCAGGAGGAACACCGAUGGCGAAGGCAGGUCUCUGGGCCAUUACUGACACUGAGAAGCGAAAGCAUGGGGAGCGAACAGG
rnacentral:rRNA from 1 species